GGUAAAAUAAAAAAAUAAAAUAAAAAAGAAGACUUGUGACAUAGUGCGUACGUGCGUGCAUUAUACUUUAACAUGCUCAUAUACCACGAUGGUUUCGAGCAUGUCGGUCUCUGGGAGGCCAGGGACCCAAUCCGGGGCAGAUCACAAUGCCAGUGUGCGUGCGUAAUACUUUAACAUGUUCAUAUACCACGAUGGGUUCGAGCAUGUCCGCCCCAGGGUUCGGUCUCUGGGAGGCCAGGGACCCAAUCCGGGGCAGAUCACAAUAUCAGUGUGCGUGCGUAAUACUUUAACAUGCUCAUAUACUACGACUGUUUCGAGCAUGUCCGCCCCAGGGUUCAGUCUCUGGGAGGUCAGGGACCCAAUCCGGGGCAGAUCACAAUGUCAGUGUGCGUGCGUAAUACUUUAACAUGCUCAUAUACCACGACUGUUUCGAACAUGUCCGCCCCAGGGUUCUGUCUCUGGGAGGUCAGGGACCCAAUCCGGGGCAGAUCACAAUGUCAGUGUGCGUGCGUAAUACUUUAACAUGCUCAUAUACCACGACUGUUUCGAGCAUGUCCGCCCCAGGGUUCAGUCUCUGGGAGGUCAGGGACCCAAUCCGGGGCAGAUCACAAUGUCAGUGUGCGUGUGUAAUACUUUAACAUGCUCAUAUACCACGACUAUUUCGAACAUGUCCGCCCCAGGGUUCUGUCUCUGGGAGGUCAGGGACCCAAUCCGGGGCAGAUCACAAUGUCAGUGUGCGUGCGUAAUACUUUAACAUGCUCAUAUACCACGACUGUUUCGAGCAUGUCCGCCCCAGGGUUCAGUCUCUGGGAGGCGAGGGACACAAGCCGGGGCAGAUCACCAUGUCAGUGUGCGUGCGUAAUCUUUAACAUGCUCAUAUACCACGACUGUUUCGAGCAUGUCCGCCCCAGGGUUCGGUCUCUGGGAGGCGAGGGACCCAAUCCGGGGCAGAAGUGACAUCGUUCCUAUUAUGUUCUGCUGAAUAGUGACGCAAUUUGUUUGGUUUGUAUAGAGUUUAUAGUUAAUUAGCCGUAAACAUACAGUUCAUAGGCAUCAAUUAACGAAUGUGCUCUCAACACGUAUUGUAUUUGACUACUUUCAGCUGCAUGUUCCGUGUGUUCCAUCCCUCCAGCUGGCUGUCGGUGUGGUGAAAUUCUGGACGGAAAUGGAUGUCCUACAGGAGGUUGCAGACGGUGUACAUAUAAGAAAUCCUGCAGUCUUAUAAUGUGUAUGAUGUACUGUCAGUAUGGCUUCUGUCACAGUCGUGUCACGGGAUGUCCGGUCUGCAAAUGUAGACAACACAUUAUGCCUGGUCCUAUCACGUACUAGACAACUAUCACGUACUGGAGCAGUAUCAGGUACGUGGUCAGUACCACGUACUAGAUCAGUAUCACACACGGAAUCGACGUGUUUCACGUGGCACUACACAUAGACGCAGAUUGCUGUUUAAUUAUCAACUAAAACUGCAAGCACUA